UAUGUUAAUAUUGUGACAUUUAAUGUAGCAUUGCUAAACCAUAUAUAUUCCAUUGUAGAAUUGCAUUAUAACGAAGAUUUGCUUCCCCCUUACAUGCCGGAGCUUAAUUUCACAUCAGUCCUUGGAAUUAUUCGUAAGCAAACAUAUGGAGCAAAGGUAUUUGUGGAAGCACAUUCGCAACGCAAGGCUGCCAAAGGUGAACGCCCACCAAAGAAUUAAAAGGAUGUAUAAAAUUUUCUUUUUGUAAGCAUUGUGGAACCUUCGCUCCACAAACUCACACACGCAACACAGUGUUUUCAAAUCAACAAAACAAUGGAAAUAUUGCGAUAAAUUCUAAACAAAUAAAGAUUACUUAAAAGAAAA